UACAGAGGUCCCAAGCGUUGUUCGGAUUCAUUGGGCGUAAAGGGUGCGUAGGUGGCGCUGUAAGUCGGGUGUGAAAUUUCGGAGCUUAACUCCGAAACUGCAUUCGAUACUGCGGUGCUUGAGGACUGGAGAGGAGACUGGAAUUCAUGGUGUAGCAGUGAAAUGCGCAGAUAUCAGGAGGAACACCAAUUGCGAAGGCAGCUCGCUGGAACGUUACUGACGCUGAGACGCGAAAGCGUGGGGAGCAAACAGG
rnacentral:rRNA from 1 species